GGGUCUCCAGCCACCCAGGGCGGGUUAAAUGGCUCUGGCUCAGUGACAACGCCUUUGCAGUAACCGUUACUGCCUGAUGACCCCAAAACCAGUCCUGCAAAGACACUCCCCCCACUCCCUCAACGGUCUUAGGGGAAAGAUUUGCCCUGAGCUAACAUCUGUUGCCAGUCUUCCUCUUUUUUUCCCCCCCAAAGCCCCAGUGCAUGGUUGUGUAUCCUACAUGUAAGUCAUUCUAGUUCUUCCAUGUGAGCUGCCGCCACAGCAUGGCAACUGACAGACGGGUGGUGUGUUUCUGCAACCCAGAAACAAAACUAGGCCACUGAAGCAGUGAGCACCGAACUUUAACCACUAGGCCAUCAGGGCUGGUUCAUAUUGCAUUUUUUUAAAAAGGAGUUAAAAUAUGAUACUAACUUUGUGGAGAAAUUCUAUGUACACAUAUGCAUAGAAAAAGACUGGAAGGAAAUACUGGAGAUAAUAAUACCUCAUAGGGAUGCUGUUACAAUUAAGUGAGAUGUAUACUUGCCUGACAUAUAGCAGGUGUUUAAUAGAUACUGGUUACUAUUAUCAUAAAAGAAAUAUAUCUGACUUCAUGCAUGGUCUGGGACUUCACAGCCUGGAGCCUUCAUAUCCUGAAAAUACAUGAUUUAUUUUUUGUCUUCGACUAAGCCAGGAGUGCCCACAGUUGAUAGGUUUGCAUAUGUAUCAGCCACAGAUGAAAGGCUCUAACAUAGAAUGGGCUGGUAAUGGGGGGAUGGAGUGUUAAGUAAGAGUUUUGGCCUGCAAUUCAACAUUCUUGUUUUCAGCCUUGUUAUAGUUAUGGCGACGUAGUCUUCCGUUCCGUUCCUUGUUAUUCACUGUUUAUAAAGCACUCCCAAAGUGCUGUAACCACUAUAAGACAUGUAAAAACUCAGUCCCUGUCCUCGUAAGAGUUCUUUCAUUUUAAUUAUAUAUAUAUUUUUCUGAUUACAAAAAUUUAAAUAUUCACUAUAACAAUUUUGGAAAGCAUAGAAAGUCUGAAGAAUAAAGCAAUAAUCACUCAUAUCCUAUUAUACCUGGAGAUAACCACUGCUCUUUUUGAUGUAUGUCCUUCCAGUCCUUUUUUUGCAUUUUUUUGCAAAAUUGGAAUUAUCUUCUACAAUAUGUUUGUAACCAUCGUAGGCCAAUUCAUACUGACCCUCUUGUAUCCUAUUAUAUCACUAACAAUGUUGUAUCAAAAGUUGUUUUGUAGGGGUAAUGAGUAAAAACUGCAAGUCGUGUAGGUGGAGCGUGCUCAGAAGAUGGAAACCUUGUCCUCAGAUGAUCUCGAGCUGCCUAGGAACCAAAAGUUCCCCAACUACAGAACUUAAUGUAAAGAAAAAGUGGAAUGGGGAACCUAAUAACAAGCGAGGGGUCCCUUGGUUUGUAGCAUAUCGGACUUAUAAGACUGUUACACUUUCACCCUCCAAUAAGAUUCCACCAAGUUAGCAUUUUGUAUAACUACUCCCACUCCCAGAUCCUUAAAAGUUUGGCCCUGCUUCAGCUCUAGCAGACAGAUUUGAACCUUGCCUCCUGUCUGCUUGCUGGUUGGCCACGCAAUAAAGCUCGCUCUUCUCUCAAAGGCCAGUGCUGUAGUAUUGGCUUCCAUUCACAUUGGGCAGCUAGCCCUUGCUCAGUAACAAAUUUGGCGACCGCAAAGGGACUUCUGGUCUUUUGACUGUCAGCUUGAAGCUUGGUGGCCCCUCAGUGGAGUGCUGGCCCUCAUUGUCAGCCUUCACUGGCUGCCUGGACUGCUUUAGUCUAGAGAUUCGACUUUUGGGAUGCUGCUUCCCCACCAAAGCACCACCAGCUCUUUGGCACUACUUUCUCUUUUGAGAAAAGAAAUCACUUCUGGAUCAAGACAUCUCUGGAGAAAGUAGAUAUUAAAGUCCUCCCAGAACACGCCUGCAUCCUCCAAGCUGUGCUGUUGCAAUUGGAAGACGAGCCUCGAUUAGAGUGCCCUGAAGAAGUUCUAUGAAAGAACUGACCUGACUGAUCAGCCUUUGGAAAAUCCAGACAUGGAAAUGUUUACUGACGAGAGCAGUUUCAUGCAUCAUGGACUCUGGAAAGCCAGGUAUGCAAUAGUAACUCAUCAGGAGGUCCUAGAAGCGAAAGCCCUCCCUCCAGGUACGUCUGCCCAGAAGGGAGAGCUCAUAGCCCUAACAAGAGCCCUGUAUCUUGGAGCUAAGAAAAAGGCAGCCAUUUAUAUAGAUUCUAAGUAUGCCUUCUCUGUCAUGCAUGCACAUGGGGCCAUAUGGAAAGAGAGAGGUCUGUUAACAUCAGGAAGGAAAGAGAUUAAACAUGCAGAAGAGAUACUGGCCUUAUUAGAAGCUGUUAUGAUGUCAGAAGAAGUAGCCAUAGUAUAUUGCCCAGGCCACCAAAAGACUGACAGUUAUAUAGCCAAAGGAAAUAAUUUCCCAAUCAGGCUGCACAACGGGCAGCCAGAACCAAAACCACAAUUCCUAAGGCCCUAGCACUCAUUCCUAGUGUGGAUCUGUCCCUGUUUAAGCCUCAGUAUUCAGAAGUAGAUCUAGACAGAGCAGAUGAAUGGGGAUUUCGUGCUGACUCUCGAGACUUAGAUGGUGAUCAGUACCAAACAACCAAAGAAGGCUGGGUUUAUAAUGAACAGGGACUAGUGCUUAUCCAUGAGCAUUUAAUAGAAGGAAUUAUUACUCACCUACAUCAAGCAACCCAUUAUGGGAGAGAUGCAACUUAUCAUUGGUAACAAAAAUUUGUUGUUGGUCCACAAAUGCGAAGGACUAUCCAAAAGGUAAUACAAAAUUGCCUGAUUUGCACCAGAAACAAUCACCAUACUGGGCCACCUCCAUUAAUAAAAGGGGUACAAACCCAAGGGAUAGAACCAGGAGAUGAUUGGCAAAUUGACUUUACUGUUAUGCCAAGAGCCAUAGGAAGUUAUAGGUAUUUGUGGACACUUUCACAGGAUGGGUUGAUGCUUUUGCAUGCAGGAUGGAAAAGGCUUCCAAAGUUACAAAGGCCUUACUAAAAGAAGUCAUCCCUCGUUUUGGGCUGCCUCUUUCAAUUAAAAGUGACAAUGGAGGAGCUUUCAUAGCCAAGGGAACACAAGCGAUGUCUGGGGCCCUUGGAAUACAAUGGAAGUUGCAUCCUUCAUAGAGACCUCAGUCUACAGGAAAGACUGAAAAGAUGAACCAUACCUUAAAGAAAACAAUUGCCAAAAUAUGUCAGGAAACCAAUUUAACAUGGGAUAAGGUCUUGCCAGUUGCCACACUUAGGGUAAGAGUAGCCUCUAGAAGUAGGCUUCAACUGAGCCCCUAUGAAAUAUUAUAUUGGAGACCCUUCCUUAAGACUAAGUAUUCUUGCAGUCUUGAAAAUGGUCAUAUUGUAAAAGAAUUGGAUGCUUUAAAAUGUGUACAGUCUCUAGGUGCUACUUUAUCUGCUAUACAUAAAUAUGCUUCUAGCCAAUUAAUGUUUCCUACAGACAUUCCCCUGCACUGUAUAAGUCUGGGUGAUUGGGUCCUCCUCAAGGCUUGGAAGAAUCCACACCAUGAGGAUCAACUACAAUCUAAGUGGAAUGGACCCUAUGAAGUCCUUCUGGUUACAUACUCUUCAGUUAAAUUAAAAGGAGUUACACCUUGUAUGCAUCGCUCAGCCCCCCGGUACAUAGUUGAAUAUUCUUCGUUGUGGGUCCUUCUAGUUGUGGCAUGUGG